AUUGAACGCUGGCGGCAUGCCUAACACAUGCAAGUCGAACGAGUGGCAGACGUGUGAAUCAUGUCUGUGAACCUCCCUAAUGGGGGGGGAUAACUACUGAAAACGGUGCCUAAUCCCGCAUACCAUCACAUUUGCCCGGAUGGGAUUAGCUUGUUGGUGGGGUAACGGCUCACCAAGGCGACGAUCCCUAGCUGGUCUGAGAGGAUGACCAGCCACACUGGAACUGAGACACGGUCCAGACUCCUACGGGAGGCAGCAGUGGGGAAUAUUGCACAAUGGGCGCAAGCCUGAUGCAGCCAUGCCGCGUGUAUGAAGAAGGCCUUCGGGUUGUAAAGUACUUUCAGCGGGGAGGCGUUACCCGCAGAAGAAGCACCGGCUAACUCCGUGCCAGCAGCCGCGGUAAUAC
rnacentral:rRNA from 1 species